rnacentral:rRNA from 1 species
UGGGGAAUAUUGGACAAUGGGGGGAACCCUGAUCCAGCCAUGCCGCGUGUGUGAAGAAGGCCUUAUGGUUGUAAAGCACUUUAAGCGAGGAGGAGGGUACUGGUAUUAAUACUACCAGGUACUGGACGUUACUCGCAGAAUAAGCACCGGCUAACUCUGUGCCAGCAGCCGCGGUAAUACAGAGGGUGCGAGCGUUAAUCGGAUUUACUGGGCGGAAAGCGAGCGUAGGCGGAUAAUUGAGUCGGAUGUGAAAUCCCCGAGCUUAACUUGGGAAUUGCAUUCGAUACUGGUUAGCUAGUGUGUGGGAGAGGAUGGUAGAAUUCCAGGUGUAGCGGUGAAAUGCGUAGGUAUCUGGAGGAAUACCGAUGGCGAAGGCAGCCAACUGGCCUUUAACAGACGCUGAGGUACGAAAGAAUGGGGAGCAAACAGG